AGUACUGCAGAUAUGGAGGUGAAUAGUGAGGUUAAUCCAAAUAAAAGCUUCCUUGGCAAACUCUUUUUGAAGUCCUUUUUCUGGCAUCUUGAGGUAAGGAUAGCUAGAAAAAACACCAGGGCAGUCACAGAGAAGCAGAGAGCAACAAGUGAAGCAACAGAAAAAACAUUGAAUGCAGGUUGUUUUUCGAGAACUGGAUGACCAGACUUUUGAUCAGGACCACCUGGAAUUGUUGAUGAGGUAGCAAAUGCCACUGUUGCAAUGAGUGCUGCCACCAGAGAGCAUGAUUCGGAGGUUUUGAUCAUCCACUUACUUCCAUCUUUUACUAGUUUUUCAUGUGUCUUCAUGAAAAUUUUUCCUGCAGUCUCACCUUUCUUGUUGUACUGGAUGAAACAUUGUGGCGGCAUGGAGUGCUUGACAUGCUGCAUUAGCAAACAACCUCUGUUAAUCUCUGGAUGUUAGAUGUUUAAGCCACACAUGUAUGUUUUGAAGAAAGGUCUGAAUAGGAGAAAACAUAUCACGCCAAAAACAAUAGACUAAAAAAUGUACUAGCGCAAUGCUUAAGAGAAAAACUAGAUUUUGAAGUUCUUUUAUCUAUGGCAGUAAAGAGGGGCAAUCAUUGGAAACUAACUUCCUCUCGGAUGCAUUUAUGAAAAAAAAUUUAAAACAGCAGCCAAAUGUUUGUAUGCCUAAUUGAGAAAUAUUUACAAAACAAUUAUUAUGUACCCAGAGAUUAACAGAAUACACAACAAUAUACUUUGAGUUAAUGUGAGAUGGUUACCACAUUCUACAAAGGAAGAUCUUAUAAUAUUAUAUGAACAAAACAAGAACAUAAAGCCAAUGAUGAAGUUGUCACAUUAUGAUUUUAGCUAGGGAUUAUCAGGGCAUAUUCUCAGCUUGGAAAAAUUAGCUAAUAUACAUAUACCUUAUACCACUUGAUUUCCCACUGCAUCUGCAAUGCAGCACCUGGAAUUCGCCAAGGUUGGUGUUCUUGGAACUUAGCAGCCAGAUGCAACGCACUAUUUCCUUCAUUAUCAACUUGAUAAAGCACAAACUCGGGGAGUUUCAUCAUCAUUAGCAAAUCAAAUACCUUGUUUUGCCUGUUCUCAACGGCUAAGAGCAGGGCAUUCUUCUCAUUUGCAUCCAAGUCUUGAAUGGCAACAGGAAAGGUUUCCAGGAUUUUUUUUACGACUUCUGUUACACCCAUCUUUGCUGCAAGUAGUAUUGGUGUCUCCUUCUUAACAUCCUUGGUUGUGGGAUCUGAUACAGUUACGUAAUUUGUCAGUGGAUCAAUUAGUGUCUAUAUCUGAAAUUUGCUUUUAUGAGCUUUCAUGUUUCAUGCUAUCUCUUACCUUGCAUCUUAGCGAGGUUAACUGUCAAGAGCAGGGCAUUCUUGGCAUUCGCAUCCAAAUCUUGAAUGAUCGCCGGAAAGGUUUCCAGGAUUUUUUUCACCGUUUCUUUUAUAUCCAUGUUUGCUGCUACUAUUCGUGUCUCCUUAACAUCCUUUGUUUGGGCAUCUGAUACAAGUACGUCAUUUGUGAGUGGAAUAAUUGAUACCCAUCCCUGUAAUUUGCCUCGUAAGAUCUACCUGUUCAAGCUAUGUUCUUUCCUUGCCUAUUGGCUACUUAAGCAUGCUACUCACAUUUAGUACAGAGAGACUAAUUAACAGAAUACACAAAGUGAACUGGAGAUGGUUACCGCAUUCUAAAAAGGAAGUUCUAAUAAUAAAAGAAUGAAUCAAGAACGUAAAGCCAAUGAAGUUGUCAUAGAUUGAUUUCAGUCAGGUAUUAUCAGAACGUAAUCUCAGCUUGGAACAAUUGACUAAGGACUAAUAUGUACCUUAAACCACUUGAGUUCCCACUGCAUCUGCAAUGCGGUACCUGGAAUUCGCCAAGGUUUAUGCUCUUGAAACUUGGCAGCGAGAUGCAUUGCACUGUUUCCUUCAUUGUCAAUUUGAUAAAGCACAAAUUCCGGGAGUUUCAUUGUCAUUAAUAAAUCAAAUACCUUGAUUUGCCUGUUCUCAACGGUCAAGAGCAGGGCAUUCUUCCCAUUUGCAUCCAAGUCUUGAAUGGCCACUGGAAAGGUUUUCAGGAUUUUUUCCACCAUUUCUGAUAUACCCAUCUUUGCUGCAAGUAAUAUUGAUGUCUCCUUAGCGUCCUUGGGGUUGGCUUCUGGUACAGGUAUGUCAUGUCAGUGGAUUAAUUGGCAUCCAUCAGCUUCAAGCUAAAUUCUUAUCUUACCUAUCAGCUACUUUGAUGUGCUACUAAGAUUUUAUGCUAACUUGCUUCAGCACAAGUGUGUGCAAUCUAAAGUAGAGUUGCUUAAGACAUUUAUUUUAUGGAAGAAAUCAUCUUGGGAAGAAAUCACCAUGGAAGGUGAGGCAGAGAGGACCUAGAAGUAUAACUUCAUUGUAACACAUCAUUAUUUCUUAAUUUCAAAUUAGAGAGUCAAUUUUCUUGAGGCUAACUCUCAACAUGGUUCAUAUCUUACUAUUCAUGUUUGCAUAAAUUGACCACCGAAGAUGUUGGAAGCAUGAACCAUUGUCCUGUAUGACUAACUAAGGUAGAUUACAGAAAGAGGGAACUAUAUUUUAUCUGCACCUUACCUUCUUGGAACAAGCAACCUUUACCUUUAUGACUUCACCAUCGAGUAAUGACAUUCGCAGACCAUAUUUAGCUUCAUAUGCACACUUUAAAUGCUCUUUAGGCCAAAUGACAAGCAUGCACAACAAGGGUAAAAGAUGCUGCCAAUAUAAUUGCCCUUACCAAUACAACUAAAGCAGACAAAUAUCAUGUAAAUUUUAGAUAUUACAGUCGAGUCUCUUCUAAAUUUUAGUUGUUCACGUGAGGUGGACAGAGCUAAACUGUUAUCUCGAAACCAUACCUGGUUUACUCUCAAUUUUGUUUUUCUUGUCUUUGGAUUUGCUUGCAGGGAUGUUGUCUUUCGAGCUUGAAGGAGUAUCAGGUGUUUCUGGUGCUGCUUUUGGAACGACAAAUCUUCCUUCAUACAUCGGUUCUGCAGCAUUUAUGGGAUUUUGCCCAUCGUGACUGUACUUAUAUCGUGAUUCUUUCUCAAUCAAUUUAUCCAUCAUCCGAACAGCCCUAUUGUGCCUCUGUUUCUUCUCCGCAAUCUUGCUGAUCUUCCAAAUGCCUGGAUGCGUGAAAACAUUUGUGCAGAUCAACCAAACAUUGUUAGAGAUGGAAAACCAAUCUGUUGCAUAAUGUGAUUAGUCGAUACCUGAUGAUUAGACUUACCAAGACAGAUGGAAAUUUCCUAAAACGCAUUUUUUUUUUUUUUUGGAAUUUGGUUAAAUGUUCAGGAACAAACAAGAUUUUGUUCCUUUGAGCCGAAACUAUCCCAGCGAUUUCUGAAUAGCAUUGAAACUUUGUAAUUGACUAUGAACUGAUACAAUAUAAAUUCAACUCAGCUGAUAUAUGACACUCAAAACAAAACAAAACAGCUUUAAAUUGAAUGGAAAGAGCUGUAUUUCUUUUUACAUGUUACAAGCAUAAAUACCCCUACAAACUACAACUAUGCCUUUGCUAUGUCUUGCUUUGCUUUUCUUCUUUCUCAGUUUGAGGCAGGGAAAGAAGCUAUCCAGAAAAAUAUGGUACUAGAAGUAAAUACGGAUGAAAGAAAAUUCCAUAUCACAGGACUAGAAUUAACUGUAGAGCGACGCUUACCGAUUCCGAAAAUAAUUAGUGCAAGGUUGAUUGCAAAUUUGAACAACUGAAUGCAGGUAGCAUAGUUAGGUGGAAACGUGUUCUCAUCAUUGAGCUCUUUUCCUGCUUGUUUGAAAUUGGCAAGUGGUUAGUUUAGAGAACAAAUUACGAGCUAUAUAAUCAUGUACCUGCAUUAACAUGUAUAGCAUGGUAUGACAUCACUUCCAGCCUACAUUUUUCACAAUUCUUUGUAAGCUAUUCUAUAAUUGCUCAUGUGGAACAUACAUGUUUAGAAAAGAUUAAAUAAUUUAGGUUGAUAAUCUGCCAAAUUGUUUUGUAGUCCUCUUCCUAAAUCAGAAGCAGCCAAAGGCCAAAUACUUCUAAAAUUAGUGUACUCCUGAACGUUUUGUCGCAACAUUAGCACAAAGCCAAAAGCAAUAUAUUCAUGGAUGAUAAUAAUUGUGCAAUGUGAACAUAGUCGUAGGAAUCCAGAACGCUGAUAGGUACAAUUAGACCUGAACACAGUAUCACAAAAAUUUGGCCUUGUGUAAAGAUGGAUAAGUUCUUGAGAUCCCUGAUAUCUUUCAGGCAAGUGACUCAGAUGAAAUGAGUAAUUCAUGAAGAAAAGAGUGAACUUGUUUAAAACCAUGUCAACCUGAGAUAAAUAUUCAAGGAGAAUUGGGUCAUCUAGGAGAUGUGAAAAGCAAAAGAAAAAUAUUAGCCCUUGAUUCUGAGGUUAAAAGGAUUAUGUCAAUUCAUAUGGGCACAAAUACCAGACUCCCCUCUCCUAGCUUAAUGUUUUAGAAUGAUUUGAAAUCAAAAUGGUAAAAGAAACCCUUAGGUUCCAUCAACACACAAUAUCCCUGAAAGUACAAGGACUCCUGUGUAGAAGCAUUAGCUGUUAUAACAAUUCUCUAUAGUAUUUGAACAACAAAUGAAAGUGCUAUAUUUUUGUUUCAAUGAAUCUCUUAGGAAUUGUGAUAUACCUUCUCUCUUUACAUAAAGUUGCACCUCUAUUUUUUUAAAAUAAUUUUAAACAUGAGAGUAUGUGCCCAAUUCACAUGUUCAUAAUUUCGUUAGAUAUAUAGUGGCUAAAUUGCUAAAAGUUUUAUUUUAUUUAAUGGCUCUCCAGAAGAUAAUGCAUCCUGUAAGUUGAGCUGCAAUGAAUUUAAACAACUGGGGAGGACACGAGGCUGACAGAGCAAACCAGUCUAUACCAUCUUCACAGUUCGCACCCUUCCAUAGAUACCCUAGUGGCCACAAAUGAGUACAUAAUGUUUUCCUUUUUGAAAGUAAGUACCAGAUGCACUGAUGCAGAUCCUUUUAGUAGUUAAGCAAAACAGAGGUAAAAUAUAUUAGACAAGCAACUCAUAAGGGUGUUGAACUCCGUGUUACUGUUACUGUGGUAUGCGUCUAGCAUCUUAGUAAUUUAGAAGUUCUUAGCAUGAUAUUUUUGUGCGGAAAUCAGGUAGCUGAUCGCAUUGCAUACAACAAGGCAUGGAGAAGUUGAGCCUCAGAAAAUAUUCCCUUAGGCUACUGAUGCUACGAGGUUUUAAUGGUUUUUUUGUUACUUUUUGUUGUUAUACUGUACUUAUUUCUUCCAUUAUUCAAAAUUUACUUCCCUCCGUGUUCUGCAUGUCAUAAGGUUUAGAUUUGUUAAGCAAAAGCAAGUUCAAACAAUUCCAAAACUGCAGGAAAUCAGUAAAGGCAUAGUAGAGACCUUGAUUUCCCUCUAUUGGAAUUUCUCUGUCUUCUGUACUGCCCGGUUGUCUGGAAUCAGAAUCUUCUCCACGAGAAGCUGGAAACAAGUAUUGCUCCAUUAAGAAGUUGUCAGAAGUUAAAGUAGAGUGUGAGAUGUGGUUAUCAAACGUACCAACUAUCCUGAUUACAGUCCAAGCUAGAUAAAGGAAUUUUCCACUUGUCUGGUAGUUAGUUAUCCGGAUAAUUAAUACCACGAGUAGUGAGCUAGCAAUGGAAUUCUGUAAGGUUUUGUUUUUACACUGUGCUAUUUUCUUCCAAUUCAAAAUCUAUUUGAUGAAGUCUAGAUUCUUUUACCAAAAACAAGUUCAAACAAUUUUGCUCGAAGAAAAGUUCAAACAUUUUAAAAACUUCGGAAAUAAGUAAACUUUAAGUGUUACUUUUGUUAACUUUUGUUGUUAUACUGUGCUAUUUUCUUCCAUGAUUCAAAAUUUUUAAGUGUUACUUUUCUCGAUGUUCUGCAUUUGAUGAAGUCUAGAUUCUUUAAUUUACCAAAACAAUUUGAAAACUGCAGGAAGUAACUAAAGGCAUAGUAGAGACCUUGACCUUCCAUUUUUCCCUCUUCUGGAUCUGCUGUACCUGGACCUUGACCUUGAUCUUGACCUUUCCCAAGAGGAGCUGGAAACAAGUAUUUGUCCAUUUAGAAGUGGCCAGAAGUCAACGUAGAGUGUGAGAUUGGUUAUCAAACCUACCAAUUAGCCAGAAUGCAGUCGAAAUUAGACGAAUGAAGUUCACACACGUCUGGUAGUUCUUGGGAUAGUGCUCUCCGGUCGCCUCUAAACUUCUCCGGUCUCCUCUUCUGGAUUGACGGUUCUUAACCUCAGGGACAUAUACACCUUGCAAACAAAUACAGUUGCACUUCGGUGAAAGUCAAAUUGAGGAGAUAUUUAGAUGAACAAAGGAAAGAUGAAUGAUAAACCAUACAUUCAACCGUAUAUGUAAAAUAUUCUUCCUCUAGAAAAGUGGUUUAAAAUCACCAACUCUGCGUGAAAUUACAAGAAAGAUUUGAUGAUAUCUCAAAAUGACAAAUGUUUCGGGACCUUUGAAUAUCAUAUAUUGGAGAAACUGGAAAAUAAUACCCGGAAAAUCUUUUUAAAAUGAUAGCUGAAGAAAAGAAUAGGAAGGAAAAGAUUAAGCUAUAGUUAAAUUUUGAGAUUUUGGCAAAGUCAGAUAAUGCAAUGGUCUAGAGGAAAGAUAAAGGCAGCAUGUUAGAAGCAACGUACAUAGGCAAACAGCCUCCUACCAAAAAAAAAAAAAAAGAUCAUAGAUGCUUUAGCUGAAGAGAUGUUUAAAUUUCUAAAAUCUUCCCGAUAGACAUUCUUACAGCGAUAGAGCAUUCGAUCACAGAGUCGAAGAUUGCUGCUGCUCUCAAAUACAUUUGGCUUCCUGGCUAGGAUGUGGAGAGGAGAAAAGCCUUCCUCAUUGACAGAAUUGACAAGCUUGCGGUAUUUGAUACUUAUCAGGUCUGCCAAUGCUGUAAUGGAGAAAAUUGUUGAGAUCCCAUUUGAUUCUUAGAUGAUAUAAAUUUAUGCACUUUGAGUCUUUGAGUGAAAAGGAAGCAUGACUUGCAUAAUUCUUACCAAAGUAUUCCCCAGAUAUGGCAGAGUGCAGAAUGGUAUCCCCAUCAUUCCUUCUACCGAGUGAAUAAUCUGGUUCGCUUGCAUUCCCAUUGUAGAGCUGAUGAAGCAGUUGAAAAGCUUCCAUAUGGCCGUGAUGAGCUGCCAAGAACAUUGGUGUUUCGCCCUUCCGAUUGCGGAUCAUGAUGAGCUCGCGAUAAAUCUGAUUGCGGUUCCUGGCUAUACAAUCACAGAUUGUGACACUGCCAAGUGCUGCAGCUAGAUGGAGAGCUGUGUCUCCUUUGUCGUUUUGCGCUUUAAGGAUCUCGACUGCCUGGCCCACUGGUAGUGAUUCUACCAGUUGCCCUAUGGUUGCUGCAAGUGCAUGAGCUUCCUUUUCACCUACAUGGUAACUUGAGACAGCAAUGUGCAGAGCUGUCUCUUCUGAUUUAGUUAGCUUAGCGUUGCAAGCAGCCGAAGGGUAGCUCUUGCAUAUUCUCAGCACUUCCUUCCAAUUUUUCUUCAUGGUAAAUUGAAAUAAUUCAUCUACAUCAAAUUUUUGAGCCUCUAAUUGUUUGUUGUUCCUCAUUUUCUUCCAGGUGUGCUCUUUCUUGUCACUUGUGAUUCCUCAUAUCAUCUAUAUAAUGUCUUAGAGCUCUAGCAUUGUAACGUAUGCAAGAAAAAGAAAAAGGCCCACCAAAACCCUUUUUUUGAUUUCUGGAAACCUUCUUUUCUUUUGUCGUUUCUAAGUUUCCGAGGAUCAGUUUGAAACUAUUUUCUCUUUUGUCUUUUCCAAGUUUCUGAGGAUCAAUUUGGAACUGCUUUCUCCGGAACUCUCUCUAGUUUUGAAUGGCUUCGACAUCAUUAUUCCUUUUUUCUUUGGCUUAUUCUUCGAAUAAAUAAAUAAAUAAAUAAACAAAACACACAGUUCUGUUGCAGUUAAUAUAGAUUGGUACAAGAAGGAAGAUAGGAAGGCCAUAGGCAAUUAGUCCCUACUAAUGCAUUGCAUAAGAAUAAGCAAACAAAUGUACAUUUUAGGUAGUAAACCAACCCUUGCCUUACAAUCAAAUCAUACCAAAGUUUAAUCACAUCUAUAUCUUCAUUUGAUUCGUAGGUAUCUUCAUUUGAUCCGAUCAUAAAAUUUCAAUUCAACUACAAUACUUUGUGUAUAAUCUGGAUGGAUUCUUUUCUUGUUUGCAUAAUGUAGCUUUUUACCACUUGAUUUAUCUGACCUUUUUCUCCCCAUUUCACUGUGUAUAAAGAAGACCCGUUAUCCAUGACUUGAUGCUGAACGAAGGCAUACUCAACUAGAAUCUUAAAAAAAAAAAAAGGAUGAAGACCAAUUAGUAUUCGAAUCACAAAAUUGAUUGGUCUUUUUCAAGUAUCACUGGCACUCAUCUAAAGAAACUUUCAAAAUUUCUGAAACUUUUUUAGUACUCAACCAGGAAGUAGAGGAUUAUUUAUGCAGAGUUCAAAAAUAUUGUCCAUGAAGCAUGGUAUUUACUAGUAACUAACUCUCACAAGAGAACCAAAUAUCCUCUCAACUUUUUUAAUACAGAAGCAAAGCCGUGCAGUAAAGUUGAUAACUUGAUACUAACUCAUAUUGUACUUCAGAUGAUUCUUUGGAGCUCACUAGAGCAAGUCAUUUGCUCCCCUUGUCUCACCUGCAGUUUUGCUUCAUUUCUUCUGUCUUCCCCACGUCAACGAUUUUUGUUUUUUUUUUUUUUGGCUUUUGUAACAAAAAAAGAUAUGUGUCACAACACUGGUGGAGCAAUCAAUUAUUUACCGGGAAAUUAUCUAAUCCACUUUCUUCCUAGCAGUAAAUGAAACGCAUCGAAUCAUCUAGUUAUUUUUUGGCAACUCAUUCAUCAAUUCAAGUAAUUUGCCGGCUAAAAGAGUGAUGGAGGUGUUUUUUGGAAUCAGUGGUAUGUAGACAGGCUUGUAUGGUCCUGGAAUGUGAAUGUAUCAUCCUUAAGGACUAAUGGAAAAUGUACAACCUAUAAAUCUAACAUUGGGUGUGGGAGAUGAUCUUGGUCCUUCUGUUCUGCAAGGAAUAUUCACUCAUUGCAUUGUAGCCGUGACAUUGGCCAUAUUAGCGGGGUGAUUCCAUCUUGGUGUCCACCAGCCACAACUUUCUAAUCGUUCUUUGAGGUUACUUGUCCACAACAAAUCAGUUGCUAGGAGAAUGCAAAGUAAUGUUAAGCAGUCAGUUGUUUAUAGGUUAGCCAGAAGUUUCACCAUCCUUCAUAUGUGACUUUCAGACUUGUAUAUAGCUGACAAACAUAUGCCCUUUGCUAUUUUGAGUAUUCUCUUUCGACCAUGGUUCAAAGGAGUGGUCGCGGUCUGUUGUGGUACAGAACCUAAAAAUGGUGUUUGGUGAGAAAUGUAUGUACUCAAAUGAUAAGAACACGAAUUAUACUCAAGCUGAAUGAAUUCCAGGGACAAUUGAACUUUUAUUGAACAACUUCAACUUGCUUACAGAAAAAGAAAUUGGCGGGAAAAGAAGAAGAUGAGAAAGAAUGCAGGAAGAACUUAAAGAAAGGAUAACAGAAAGGAUAUUCUCCUUCUGAUUACAAUUCAGGAAUUUUCUCUACCAAUAACAAUUGCAUGAUCGUAAUAUUUAUAGUAAUCUAUCCUAACUAACUUGCCCACUAGCUAAUGACAUAGAAAUUGCGUGUGAGUGAAUCUUCUAGAUUCUCCUGUCCACUUGCAGCAAGAAGGACGUGAACCCAGAAUGAGCGUGCUUUCUUGCUCGCGCCUUUGCGGUCUCCUGGCGCCUUCUCCCUUUUUGUUAUCACGCCUUUAUUUACUUCGUGCCCACUUGCUGUCUGAAUUCUUCAAUCCGCGUCUUCUCUUCUUUCCUCUCUGCUUGAUCGCGCUUUCCUUUGUUGCCACUUCACGCCUUUACUCCUUUAUAUCCCUACUUCAUUACAAUACUUCCCCUCCACAGCAAACCUUGACCUCAAGGUUGGAAGGUAGGGAAUUGUCUUUCGAUCUCCUCAGCAUCCUCCCAUGUAGCUUCUGCAGGGUCCGUACCCCACCAGUGGACUAGCCACUGAGUGGCAGCUGCAUUUUUUUUCUUCACCAUUUUCCUAUCCAGUAUGGCAAUAGGCUCCACUCUCCAAUGACCCUUUUCAUUUGUUUCUGGUAAAUGGAGGGUGGGGGUGAUCUUGUCUCCCACCUUUCUUUUGAGCAACGACACAUGGAAGACAGGGUGUACCUUUGAAGAGCUUGGCAGUUCCAGUCUAUAAGCUACAUUUCCUAUUCUUUCCUCCACUUUGUAAGGGCCAAAGUACCUUGCUGAUAACUUGGUGUUCCCUCUCAGGGCCACAGAGCUUUGUCUGUAGGGUUGCAACCGUAGAUACACCCAAUCUCCUUUACUAAAUUCUCGUUCACUCCUCUUCUCAUCAGCAUACCUUUUCAUUCUCUCCUGAGCCUGCUUCAAAUUCUGUUUCAGCAUGUUAUCCAUUUGUUGCCUCUCUCUGAGGUAUUCUCCUACUGCAGCUACCCUGGAUUGCAGGUAAGGUCCCAGAGCCAAUUGGGGAGGGGCUAGACCAUAUAGAGCCUCAAAAGGAGUCAUCUGGAUGGCAGUGUGGUGAGAAGUGUUGUACCACCAUUCUGCCAGAGAUAACCACUGAUUCCACUUUUUUGGUUCCAAAUGAGUCAAGCACCUGAGGUACAUUUCGAGCACCUGGUUCACCCUCUCAGUCUGGCCAUCAGUCUGAGGGUGAUAAGCUGUGUUGUAGUUCAACUUGGCCCCCAAUGAACUGAAUAGUUCUUCCCAGAAUUUACUGACAAAAAUCCUGUCUCUGUCUGAGAGCAUGCUAUAGGGAAUGCCAUGUAGUUUACUGAUGUAAUCAAUGAAGAGUCUGGCCAUUUUUGGAGCAUCAAAAGGAUGGGAUAAACUGAUAAAGUGUGCAUACUUGGUAAACCUAUCUACCACCACCAUAAUAGUAUUCCUUCCUUCUGAUUGGGGUAGUCCUUCAACAAAAUCCAUAGAAAUGUGACUCCAUGAGUGCUGGGGAAUAGGAAGUGGCUGCAGCAAUCCUGGGUAAGCCACAUGUUCAUCUUUACAUUUUCUGCAGGUAUCACAUUCUAGGACUGCCUUCUUGAUUUCCUGGUACAUUCCUGGCCAAUAAAAUAGCUGUUUGGCCCUCAUGUAGCUGGCCUGAAUGCCUGAGUGUCCUCCAACUUGGGAAUCGUGUAGUGCAGUGAUUAACUUCCUUCUGGUAUCACCUUGUCCCCCUACUACUAGCCUCUUCUUGAACCUGAGAAUGCCAUCCUGGUAUGAGUAGUCAGGUGCCAGUGUGGGGGUUAAUAACACCAGAGCUAUGGUCUUCUGAGUCCAUUCAUCCCCCUUGUAACUCUCUAUCACCUCCUGUACCCAGGUUGGCACUGCACAUGAUAUAGCUGUGCACUCCCCUAUUUCUUCCCUGCCCUGUCUAGACAGUGCAUCAGCAGCCAGGUUAUCCUUACCUUUUUUGUAAUGGAUCUCGUAGCUCAACCCCAACAAUUUAGUGAGCCAUUUCUGUUGGAGUGGGGUAGUGAUCCUCUGCUCCAGGAGAUACUUCAGGCUUUGAUGGUCAGUAUGUAUGAUGAAAUGGUGUCCUUCUAAGUAGUGUCUCCAUUUGGUCACAGCUGUCACCAAGGCCAGUAGUUCUUUUUCGUAGAUUGAUAACCCCAUGUUUUUCUGUCCCAGAGCUUGACUGAGGUAGGAGAUAGGUCUUCUAUUCUGCAUUAGCACAGCUCCUAUACCAGUGUAGCAUGCAUCAGUCUCAAUAAUGAAUGGCUGGGUGAAGUCAGGUACUGCUAGAACUGGGGUGCUACACAUGGCCUCUUUCAGUUGCUGGAAAGCCUGCUCUGUGUCUUCACUCCAGUGGAAGUUGUCCUUCUUGAGCAGGUCUGUCAGGGGUCUGGCUAUAGCCCCAUACCCCUUGACCAAUCUCCUAUAGUACCCUGUUAGGCCCAAAAAUCCCCUUAGCUGCUUGAUGUUGGUUGGUCUCGUCCAGUUUUUCAUGCCUUCUAUCUUCUCAGGGUCAGCCUGUACUCCCUCUGCUGAUAUGAUGUGUCCUAAAUAUUCCACCUGUAGCUGAGCAAAAGAACAUUUACUCAUUUUGGCAAAUAACUGGUGUUGCCUCAGAAUACUCAUUACCUCAGUCACAUGCUUCACAUGUGUCUCCAGUGUGGGGCUGUAGACCAGAAUGUCAUCAAAGAAUACCAAUACAUGUUUCCUCAUCUGUUCCUGGAAGACCUGAUUCAUCAGGCUCUGGAAGGUUGCAGGUGCAUUGGUCAAGCCAAAUGGCAUGACCUUGAAUUCAUAGAGUCCUUGAUGAGUCCUGAAAGCUGUUUUUGGUAUGUCUUCCACUUUGACCCUGAUCUGAAAGUAUCCUGCCCUCAGAUCUAUUUUUGUGAAAUACUUGGCCCCAUGCAGUUCAUCUAUUAACUCUUCAAUCAGGGGCAUGAGGAAUUUGUUCUUCACUGUCAGCUCAUUCAACUGCCUGUAGUCUACACAGAACCUCCAUGUCCCAUCUUUUUUCUUAACCAGUAGCACUGGGGAAGCAAAUGGGCUGCUGCUGGGUUGUAUGAUGCCCAGCUCCAGCAUUUCCUUCACCAAUUUCUCAAUUUCUGACUUCUGCACGUAGGGGCACCUGUAUGGUCUCACCUGGAAGGGCCUGGCCCCCUCCUUGAGGACAAUCUGGUGAUCAUGGCUCCUUGUUGGAGGCAUUCCUUUUGGUUCUUCAAAGACGUCCUUGUAUUGAUCUAGCACAUGGUUGAUUUCAAUGGGUAUCUGUCCUGGUCUUUCCUCUUUCCCCACUGUUACCAGUUGUGCUACUACCCCAUAUUCCUGCUUCCUUAGCCAUUUUGCUAGCCUGCCUCCUUUGAACAUUUCCAACUUGGUGCUGCUGUCCUCCCCUAUCAGUAUUAUUUCUUGCUUCCCCUUGAGGAUCUUCAUACUGAGUUCCAUGAAAUUGAACUCUAUAGGGCUGUGUUUGGCCAACCAAUCCACCCCCAGUAUCAUGUCACAUCCCCCCAACCUCAAAGUGUUGAAGGUAUGUUGGAACUGAUGCCCCUGCAUCUCCCACUGCAUAGGCUUAUCCAGUCCCUUGGAGUCCACUUUCUCACCAUUAGCCACAUUGACUAUUAAAGUUGGCCCCUGUGUACACAGUUUCAACUCCUUUGCCAGCUGCUCAUCCAAGAAGCAAUGGGUACUGCCACUAUCAAUCAGUGCAGUGACUUGCCUUUCCUUAACAUGACCCCUCAGCCUUAUCGUUUUGUGCCUUGCUCCUCCUGCCAGGGCAUGAAUUGAUACUUCUAUGUGUUCCCCUGCCAGACCUCCAUUAAUGCAGUCACAGAAAACUUCCUCCUCUGGUUCCCUACCCUUCUCCAUGUCUUCAUCCUCAUCAGCCAACAGUAAAUGUGCAUGGGCUUGUUUGCAAACAUGCCCCAAGGUAUAAGGUUCUGCACAUCUAUAACAUAGCCCCUUUUCCCUCCUGUGAUUGUAUUCUGUGGGGGUUAUUUUUUUAAAUAGGUUCUGGUUGGAAGUGUGCUGAUCAGGGGGUUUGUUGGUGUGUUUGGGGUAGUUUUGGUUCCAUUUGGUGUGGGGUGUAGUCUUGCUGUGGAUUUUUUGGCUAUUGAAACUGGUAUUGACAGGUUUCUGCAUUUUUUGGAUUGCUUUGAGGUUUUUUUCUUGGAGUUUUGCUAUUUCAAUGGCAACAGCUAAGGUUUCAGGUUUAGAUAUUUUCACCAUAUUGACUAUUUCCUCUUUCAGUCCACUCAUAAAACAUGCCUUAUAAUAUGAAUCAGACAAGUGAGGCAGAGAAGGCAUUACCAGGGCUUUGAGCAUUUCGAAUCUCUCCAAGUAUUCAGCCACAGAUCCUGCCUGCACCAGCUUAUUGAAUUCUUCGAUGGCCUCUUCUGGACUGCCCUCUCCAAAUCUGAUGCAUAGAGCAGUGGAUAAUUCUGACCAGGGAAUAGCCUCCCUUCCAUGAAAAACUCCAUGGAACCAGAUGUCUGCUCUGUCUCUGAAAUAGAGUUCAGCAACCUCAGCCCUCAAAUCCUCCUCUAUCUCAUGUAGUUUGAAAUACUUGUUAGCCUUCCUGAUCCACUCCCUUGGAUUGUCUCCAUCAAAAAUUGGCAGAUCCAUUUUUGGCAAUCUACCAUGGACUCUGGCCUCUCUCCUACUACCUACUUCUUUUGGUGGCUCCAUCCUGGAUUCAUUUGAUCGAUCUUCCCUUUUUGAGCUACUACUGCCUUCUGGUCCCUUCCCCUGGUCACUGAUCUUGGCCACCAACUGAGCCAUCAUGUUCAUCAGGCCCUCAUAUUUCUGAUCCAAUCCUUUCAGUAGCUUUUCAGUAGCAUCCUGUCUAAACUCCAUCGUCCUCAUGGCCUGUUCUACUCCCUCACUUUUGUUGGUAAAGGUCCUGACCACACUCCCUAAUUCCACGACCUCUCUUCUCAGAUUUUCGUCCUGGUUUUUUGUCAUCCCUAUGGCUCGCAACACAGCUCUGAUACCACUGUUGUGGUACAGAACCUAAAAAUGGUGUUUGGUGAGGAAUGUAUGUACUCAAAUGAUAAGAACACGAAUUAUACUCAAGCUGAAUGAAUUCCAGGGACAAUUGAACUUUUAUUGAACAACUUCAACUUGCUUACAGAAAAAGAAAUUGGCGGGAAAAGAAGAAGAUGAGAAAGAAUGCAGGAAGAACUUAAAGAAAGGAUAACAGAAAGGAUAUUCUCCUUCUGAUUACAAUUCAGGAAUUUUCUCUACCAAUAACAAUUGCAUGAUCGUAAUAUUUAUAGUAAUCUAUCCUAACUAACUUGCCCACUAGCUAAUGACAUAGAAAUUGCGUGUGAGUGAAUCUUCUAGAUUCUCCUGUCCACUUGCAGCAAGAAGGACGUGAACCCAGAAUGAGCGUGCUUUCUUGCUCGCGCCUUUGCGGUCUCCUGGCGCCUUCUCCCUUUUUGUUAUCACGCCUUUAUUUACUUCGUGCCCACUUGCUGUCUGAAUUCUUCAAUCCGCGUCUUCUCUUCUUUCCUCUCUGCUUGAUCGCGCUUUCCUUUGUUGCCACUUCACGCCUUUACUCCUUUAUAUCCCUACUUCAUUACACGGUCGCGAUCGCAGUCACGGUCACGGUCACGGUCGCGGUCGCGAGUCUUUGAACCAUGCUUUUGACCCUUGUCCUUCGGCUCUUCUAUGUUCGUUGGAUAAUUUAGGCUUUUCUAUGUUCAUUGGAUAAUUCAUAUAAUAACGUAUUAGUUCCAAGGACAAGCAUGGUCUCCAUCAAUAAGUUUGUUUAGAUCAGGGAAAUUGAAAAUUUGACAAUAACAAGUAAAAAUGGAAAACCUGGUUGAUCAUUCUGUUAGUGUUCUUUUGUGGGGUAUGAAUGAUGAAUUUAAGAUUUCAGAAGUUCAAUUUCACAGCUUCUCUUCAACACUGCUGUACACCAUGAUUGCCCACCUCUGCUGCUCUACAAGAGCAGGUUAGAUAUUCUUUUCAGUCCAUUCUUUCGACGUAGACACAGUCCAUUCUGGUCUAUUUCUAUCGACGUCACAUUAUGAAUUAAGGAGAAAUUACAAUGUUGGCUGUGUUCUGAAGAGAUAAUAAACAGAGUAUUAUAUAUUCCAUACAGUCUACUACUGCAAAUAGGUUUUAUUAGUUUAUCAUGAAAUCCCAACUUAAAGAUCACUGUGAUAAUUGCUAUAUAAAUGAGUGCUUGACACAGGCUCUCAAGUUGAUACAUAAACCACCUUUAGAGAUAUGAUUAAUUGGAAUGAUUCGGUUUCAGAAGUGGUCAAUAAUUUUCUAGUGAAUCAAAAGCUAAUUCAAGUAAAAUGACACAUAUGAUUGCAUCAAGCAUAUGAGUCAUCUCGAAUUAAUUCAAAUUUUUAUUAUUUUUGCUAAUUUUUUAUUAUUUUUGUUUAUCAUUUUUUUUUACAAUUUUUAGAAUAUUAAAUGUUUUAAAAAUUUGCCUUUCAUCGAGAUCGCAAUCGAUAUAUCGAGAUUUAUGUCGAACGAUCCAGGCCACGACUACGACAGUGACCACGGCUUUGAACCAUGGUCACAGUACCAUGAACACUCAACAGACUGUCUUAUCCAAGUACAUCAAACACAUCAAAUACUGAAAAACAAAAUGUACACGAAACUAUUGCUCCAAAAUAAUCAGAGCAAAAACAGAACCCAAGCUCCAAAAGUAACAGAUAUGUCCUUAAAACUGAAAACAAACUUUAAGGAGAUUAGCCAGGAAAACACUAAUGGUAGUAUACCUUGUAGCUACGAACAGGAACCUUUCGGAUGAUUGACCAUAAGAGAUCAAAGUAUAAUGGUAGCUGUGCAAAAGCAAAAAAGGUUAUUGGUAGACAUGCUACAGCAUAGAGGGGAAGUGCUGCACUAUGGAUUUGAUCGCUGAGCAUGAAGAAAUGUCCUGCACAGAACGAGACCAGUACUGCAGAUAUGGAGGUGAAUAGUGAGGUUAAUCCAAAUAAAAGCUUCCUUGGCAAACUCUUUUUGAAGUCCUUUUUCUGGCAUCUUGAGGUAAGGAUAGCUAGAAAAAACACCAGGGCAGUCACAGAGAAGCAGAGAGCAACAAGUGAAGCAACAGAAAAAACAUUGAAUGCAGGUUGUUUUUCGAGAACUGGAUGACCAGACUUUUGAUCAGGACCACCUGGAAUUGUUGAUGAGGUAGCAAAUGCCACUGUUG
rnacentral:lncRNA from 1 species